GACGGAGGGUGCUAGCGUUGUUCGGAAUGACUGGGCGUAAAGGGCGCGUAGGCGGCUCGUGAAGUCGGGUGUGAAAGCCCGGGGCUCAACCCCGGAACGGCAUCCGAUACUGGCGGGCUUGAGACCGGGAGAGGAGGGUGGAAUACCCAGUGUAGAGGUGAAAUUCGUAGAUAUUGGGUGGAACACCGGUGGCGAAAGCGGCUCUCUGGCCCGGAUCUGACGCUGAGGUGCGAAAGCCAGGGGAGCAAACGGG
rnacentral:rRNA from 1 species